ensembl:lncRNA
AAAUAGAAAUGCCGGGAUCUCUCCUUUCAAGUUUUCCACACAUGUUAAUUUCCUUUUGCUGAAAGGAAAAAUACUUGAUUCUAAUUUAUUUGUAGGCCUGAAAUGAGAUUUUUCCUCAAUUGGAAGAUGUGACGUGCCGUGUACUCUAAAUGAGAGAAGGGUUGGGAAAAUGUAAGCAGGAAACUUUAACUGCAGAAGUAAAAGGAAUUACUUAAGCGAAAGCCAAUCUGAAAAGGCUGCAUACUGUAUGAUUCCCACUAUAUGACAGUCUGGAAAAGGCGAGACUAUGGAGAAGGGGGAAAAAAAGUCAGCAGCUGCCAGAUGUUGUGGGAAUGGGGGAUGAAUAGGUGGAGCAAAGUGGAUUUUUAGGGCAGUGAAAAUCCUCCUUGUGACACUAUCAUGGUGGAUGUGUGGCGUUAUGCAUUAGUUCAAAUCCACAGAAUGUACAAGAGUGAACCCUCAUGUCAGCUGCGGCUCCUGGGUGAUAAGAUUCCCAUGCUAGGAGGAUGCUGUCGGGAAUAUGGGGAAUCUCUGCGCCUUCCUCUCUAUUUUGCUGUGAACCUAAAACUGCUCUAAAAAAAAAAAAAAAAGUCUAUUUAAAAAAAUAAAAAAGCAAAAUGAAAAUGCAAGCUUGGUUUUGAGGGCAUAUUAUUUAGAACUCUGCUGCGUGCAAGUAACAGAAGUUUUUAGCUCACUGAGUCUCAGAAGGACGUUAUAGGUCAUAGGUGCCUCGGGAACCAUGAUUACAGCUGCUGGGAGGAGGCUGCAGUGAGGUGGAAGGCAGAAUCCCGGUGGCCUCUCUCUCCCCAGCUCCCCUGUUUACACAGGAUCCUCUCCCGCUUUCCAUAGACACUGUUUGCCCUUUCUCUACCCCAAUCCUAAAUUCCUGGGCCAGGGGACGCUGGUGGCGCAGUGCUUGGGGCAGCUCCCAGCCCCAGCAACUCUGGUCACGGGGGUGGAGGUGCGGGUAUGGUUCCAUGGAAGUUGCCAGCAGAAAUCUCAAGGAAGUGAAUGGUGUGUCUUGGGUCAGCAAAAAUCCCAUGAUGGUACCAGAACCUCCCUACCAAGGAGGAUGUUCUCAUAGAUUCCCAGAGACAAGGUACCUCUCUUCAGGUUGCAUCCACUUAACUUUGAAUAACAGACUCCCAAAAAACCUCUUUCUAUAAAUGCCAAUAGAACAAAAUGAAAGUUUAGUUCACGGAAAUUAACAUAAAAAUGAAGGUUUGAUUUUUUUUUUUUUUUUUGCAUAACAGAUGAUGGUAAUCUUAAAAUACUCGACAGAUGAAAGAGGAAGCAAAACCACUCCUUCUGUCUGAGAGAAUUGUGCAAUGAUGGCCAAAAGCAGUCCUCUGCAAUUUCUUUGGGAGGUGACAAAGGAACAGAAGGCACUGGGGGAACCAAUGGGCAAAUUAGUUUAAUUAGUCAAAUUAACUUAAUUAGCAAAAAUAAUUCUCUUUGGAGCAGGCUUUGAAUAAAUCUGUGAUAAUUUUGUGAUUCUGUGAAUUUUCUGGAAUAUGUGUAUGUGUGCAUGUUGGGUGCAUGCUCAUGUGCAAUCAUUCGUGUGCAUGUGUGUGCCUGAAUGCAUGGGGGUGGACCCAGGUUUUGUGGUCCCUGAAGAUUAUACAAUUUUGAAUCACCCUUUAAAAAAAGGAACUCAGGCCGGGUGCAGUGGUUCAUGCCUGUAAUCCCAGCACUUUGGGAGGCUGAGGCAGGAGGAUUGCUUGACCCCAGGAGUUCAAGACCAGCCUGGGCAAAAUAGCGAGAUUUCAUCUCUAUUUAAAAGAAAAAAAAUUUUUAACAAAAAUGUUUUUAAAACCACAAAACGUGAAUCCAAAAUUAGGUAGGAGAGGGAGGCCUAUUUAGGUUUAGGAAGAAAACACAAUUCACAAUAUUUUCUUCUUUUUUUUUUUUUUUUUUUUUGAGACAGAGUUUCGCUCUUGUUACCCAGGCUGGAGUGCAAUGGCGCGAUCUCGGCUCAUCGCAACCUCCGCCUCCUGGGUUCAGGCAAUUCUCCAGCCUCAGCCUCCCGAGUAGCUGGGAUUACAGGCGCGCACCACCAUGCCCAGCUAAUUUUUUGUAUUUUUAGUAGAGACGGGGUUUCACCUUGUUGACCAGGAUGGUCUCGAUCUCUUGACCUCGUGAUCCACCCGCCUUGGCCUCCCAAAGUGCUGGGAUUAUAGGCGUGAGCCACCGCACCCGGCCCACAAUAUUUUCAAAGCUGAAGAAUAUCUCCAAUUUCAUGUAAUUCAGGAAACUAACAAAGUUGUGUUUAACUGCUUAACAAACCUCGAUGGCACUUCUUCCUCCUAUAACUUUUGGCUGCAUACUCUUGGAUCAUCUUUUUUUUUCUUUUUUCUCUCCCCCUGCCCCCUCCACCUUUUAAUAUGGCCACAAUUUUAUAAUAUUUUCUAGGGAGAGGAUAGAAAGAUAGUUCAGUUUUUACACUUCAUCUUAGCCAAAAGGCCGAGAAGUAAUG